AUUGAACGCUGGCGGCAGGCCUAACACAUGCAAGUCGAGAGAGCGGCGGACGGGUGAGUAAUGUAUGGGGACUGCCCGAUAGAGGGGGAUAACUACUGGAAACGGUGGCUAAUACCGCCUACUGUGGGAUCCACCCGAUGGGAUUAGCUAGUAGGUAAGGUAAUGGCUUACCUUGGCGACGAUCCCUAGCUGGUCUUAGAGGAUGAUCAGCCACACUGGGACUGAGACACGGCCCAGACUCCUACGGAGGCAGCAGUGGGGAAGAUUGCACAAUGGGCGCAAGCCUGAUGCAGCCAUGCCGCGUGUAUGAAGAAGGCCCUAGGGUUGUAAAGUACUUUCAGUCGGGAGGCGUUACCGACAGAAGAAGCACCGGCUAACUCCGUGCCAGCAGCCGCGGUAAUUC
rnacentral:rRNA from 1 species